rnacentral:lncRNA from 1 species
AAAAUGGGGACGUCGGGAGCAUUCUCUGGACAGCAGGAGAUGCAUGUCGACAAGCUGGCCCUGCCUCUUCCCACUCCAGAGUGAUGCAGCGGUGUCCUGGACCCCUGGGGAGAGGUGACCCCCCCCCCCAGCAGGAAGCUGGGCCUGGUUUCUGUCCCUCUGCAGCCACAAGGCCUGGCCAGGAUGCUGGGAGCACCACACCCUGGAGACUCAGCUCACCAAGGACUCAGGGGCGGGGGAUCCCCUGGCACCUGGGAAGCUGGGCCCCCGGCCCCCUGGACUCCCACCCAGACACCAUCUCAACCCAGGCACUUCCCCCGGGCCAGAGGGCAGCCUGGCAGCCCUGGACUCUGGGAGGGCCGAGUCUGGGGAGCUGGAGGACGUCACAUUCCACUCUUGAUGAUGCCGCCCCAGUCCUACAAUCUGGACAGCAGGAGAAGCUGCCCAUUUCCUCCAUCUCCGGUCCCUGGAGGUUCCCCGGAUCCUUUCAGGGGAGACCAUGGGCCCUAAACGAUCUUCAUAACAAAACUGAGAAGUGGCCUGGCUUCUUCACUGUGCACCUGUGUGCUGGGAUCCAGCGUGGUCUGACUGGGCAGCUCCUUUCCUUCCCUGACGCUGCUCCAGGAGAAAGAAGGACCAGGGUCAAUCCGGGGUGCCCCAGGUGGAUCAGCGAAUGCCCCUGAAGCCAGGUGCCAGUUGCAUCCCCGUCCGAUGCCCCCACCCCAGUCUCCUGAGCCUCAUUAGUCACCCCUCAUUUUCCUCUGGGGACCCCAGGCCCCAGCUCCUGUCUGGUUAGAGGCUGAAGGGGUCUGAGCGACACCUACCCUAGGGGACCUCCGGAGGGGUCUUGGUGUCCUCUGACUUCUAUCCUCAGAAGGGAGCUCAGAAUGCAGCUGAGGCUUCCCCUGGGGCCCAGGGUGUCUGUGUCCGAGCCACAGCCAGAGUGUGCCCUGGAGAGCCGCUGGGAUGCACGGUGGGCUCUCGUCAUCCUGUCCCCACUCCAGGCUUAGGCUGGAGCCGUGAUGGCACCGCUGCACUCCAACCUGGGCAACAGAGUGAGACCCUGUCUCUAUAAAAUAAAAACAAAAAUAAAGAAGA